CUGACUGAGAGAGAGCAUGUAAAAGAUAUUAUAGUACAGAUUUCUUAUCAGUCACUGCACUACUCGAAAGAUCAACGAAUCAUGGCAUCCACUAUUAGGCUACGUCAUCUCCACUUUCUAUGGCUAGGAUAGGCCAUCAAUCAAAUGAUGUUGCUUUCAGCCCAAAUUUGGGAGUGCGAGAGGAUGAGUGUGGAUACGACAGGAAUGCGCAGUAUGAAGGGGGUGCUUGGUGUCGGGAGGCGAGGAAAGAUUUAUAUGGGAAUACCCAGAAGCUUUAAAUCUUUCCUUUACCACCGAUACCUAUCCUUUUCAUCCUACACUCCUGUACUUUCCUCACAUGAACGCGGACACCUUAAACCUGGUAUGCUUUACUUAUCUAACUCUGUUUUUGCCCUGGUUAAUGAAAGUUUAGGGUCAUUUACUGAGAUCUAUGGUUAAUGGUAGCAGGACUCAAACCCGUAACCCAACAGAGAUGCGAAUUUCUAGGGUUUCUCUGAUGUAGGUGUUUACUAGGGUUUCAUUGAUGUGGGCUGUUUAUCAGGUUUUUAUUUUUAUUUUUAUUUUUAUAUAUUCGAAUUUCUCGGGUUUUUCUGAUGUAGGUGUUUACUAGGGUUUCAUCAAUGUGGGCUGUUUAUCAGGGCUUUUUUGAUGUGGGUUUUAGGUAAGAUUUCACCGUUGUGGGGUGUUUUUAUUGAUGUGGGUCUAUCAAGGGAUUUUUUAAUUUUUUUUAUUUGGAUAUUUAUCGGGUUUCUUUGAUAUGGGCAUUUAGUAGGGUUUAUUUGAUGAGGGUCUUUGCUCUGGUUUCUUUGACAUGGGUAAGAUAUUUAGGCUUUACCCAGUAAGGAUUUUGGAUCUUUUGUCUAAAAUGACUUUGUUGUGCAGAAUUAAGGGUUAGGGUUUCAUUAAUGUGGGUAUUAAUGAGAUUUCUACGAUGUGGGUAUUUAUAGGUUUCCAUUGCUGUUUAUUCAUCAAAGUGUCUUUGAUUGGUUAACAGAUUCAUGCUUUACUCAGUAAGGAGCUUGGGUUUUACCCUUUAAAUUCGCUUCUUUUGCAGAGUUAAAGAGUUAACUUUGUGAACUUAGAUACGCUUUUUACUUUUUUCUUUUUUCUUUUUGGUUCCUACCUUACAGUCUCUUGGAUUGGAUACAUUCAUUUGUUAAUGUUUUUUAUAUUUCUAUCUAAGGUAGCCAUAUGAUUUUGGCCAUCUUCUUAUCUUUCUGAAUAAUUGAGGGACUGCGAUUGGUUAUUUUCGAGUGCAAUUGCUCGAUCUUGGUUGAGGUUGAAAUAUUCAAUAUUAGAACUGAGAAUAAAGUCCCACAGUG